AAGUGAAGCUAAAAAACCAGGCACGGCCUGUGGCCAGGCCACCCCCCCCGCCCCCCACAAGCCACCAGGGGUUCUUUGGUGCAUACGGACCACCUGCACAGAGGCUGUGGACCCGCCAAAGUGUGUCCGAAGCAGCGAUGCAAAGCUCCUUCCCUAAUGCAGGAACUCAAUUCACUGCACGUGGUGAAACUAUUACAUAAAUAUGCUAAGCACAUAUUUUAUAAUAGAAAAGCCUCGUUCGUUCUCUCUGUACGUCUGCAUGUUUUAAAGGCAUCAACUAGCCCCAAGGGCUGCGUCUUCCUCCACCCCCACGCCUCUCCCAGCUCACGCAGCGCGUGUGGCCGUCCCUUGCGACCGCUCACUAUUCCUACCCUCUGCCCACAGGGCGAGGAACGGAGAGGUCCCCCAGGGCUUCUCUCUGUGUCCCUGGAGGAGGAAGCUCUUAUUUGCUCUCCAGUCCUGAUCGCUCCAUCACUCAAGUCUUCAUGCUCGCAAAGGAGGAUGGUCUUUCCCCCUCUGAGUCCCACCACCCUGCCCAGUCACUUUCUCCCUGCUGGCCCUUGAUCACAACCUGAUGAGUUAGAGGGCAACUGGACACACUCCCUGUGACCGUCAUGACCGAUGGGUGGAAGUAUAUGGAGAUCCACUUUGGUUCGAUCGAAUCGACUCUACGGCAUCGCUAUUCAAAGUGCCAUCCACAGACCAGCAGCAUCGAACCGUGUUACAAAUGCAGAUGACCGGGCCCCAUCCCAGACCCACUGCAUCAGAAUCUGCAUUUUUAUAAGAUUCCCCAGGACAAUUCAACUGCCCAUAAUGUUUCGAUUGUAACACCAAGAGGGGCUCUAAGGCGACAUGGGUACUUUAUCAGGAAGUGGGGGGCCCCGGUGGCCCCCUGCUGGUCACUGUGCCCUGAGUAGGAGCUGGGCAGAAGGGUCCCACUGCUGUAUUAUUUUGCAAAUGCUUAGUAACCUCCACCUUCUCGCCCCUGUCACACUGGCUCUAGUUUUGGAAAUUCUCCUUACUACCGAGCCACAAUCCCUUAUCUGCAACAGAAACCCAAAGGUUUUGUCUAAGUUUCACCCAAAUGUAUUUGGCAGCAGCACCUGGUUUGAGCUGAUGGGAGGCUUUUGAGAGUCGUUAUUUAUCCCACUUUGUGCGAUAUUUUCAGCACAGCAAUAUUAUAUUAAUGUGUCUGAUUACCUGCCAGGAGAUAUUUCAUAAGACAUGCUUUCUACAGGUCUUAACCUUUCUAAUACCGAAAACCUCUCAAUUCUGAAACUUACCUGGUCCGAACGAAGCGUUUGGAUGGGUUCUGGACCUUUAUCUCCUUUUCCCCUCAGAGAUGAUGCAUUCGAUUUCUUGAAUUUCCCUGUCAUUAAAAAUAAUAAUAAUUACAAUCAUAAUUACUAAUUACAAAAUUAACUCUUGUUGGGAAAAAUUCAGACUACGCUAAGAGAGAUUCCUGCCUCGGCUUCUAAUUGGCUUGGUGUCUAUAUUUCCUUUUUCAUUUCUUUAAAAAAACUACACAUGUAAAGGUGCAGCCGGAAACGCACACAUGUGCACACAGACAUUUUAAUAAUAAAAAUGCAAUCACAUCUUGCAGAGCCCUCCACCCCCCCCUCCCCGCCCACAUAUGCACACACACGCACUUAAAUGUGUCAGGAGAAACCCCACGACAAGCUUAUAUUUGGUUUGCUGUCGGUACCCGGCCGGCUGUAUCUGCGGAG
ensembl:lncRNA